GACAGAGGGUGCAAACGUUGUUCGGAAUCACUGGGCGUAAAGCGCACGUAGGCGGCUUGUUAAGUCAGGGGGGAAAUCCUGGAGCUCAACUCCAGAACUGCCUUUGAUACUGGCGAGCUUGAGUUCGGGAGAGGUGAGUGGAACUGCGAGUGUAGAGGUGAAAUUCGUAGAUAUUCGCAAGAACACCAGUGGCGAAGGCGGCUCACUGGCCCGAUACUGACGCUGAGGUGCGAAAGCGUGGGGAGCAAACAGG
rnacentral:rRNA from 1 species